GAUGAACGCUGGCGGCAUGCCUAACACAUGCAAGUCGAUCGGUAAGGCUCUUCGGAGUCCACGAGAGGCGGACGGCUGAGUAACGCGUAGGAACACACCCUGCAGUGAGGGAUAAGACACCGAAAGGUGUUCUAAUACCGCAUACGGUCUUCGGAUUAAAGCAUUUAUGCGCUGAAGGAGUGGCCUGCGUCAUAUUAGAUAGUUGGUGAGGUAAUGGCUCACCAAGUCGAUGAUGUGUAGCUGGUCUGAGAGGAUGAUCAGCCAGACUGGAACUGAGACACGGUCAGACUCCUACGGGAGGCAGCAGUGAGGAAUAUUUCACAAUGAGCGAAAGCUUGAUGGAGCAAUGCCGCGUGCAGGAUGAAGGCCCUCGGGUUGUAAACUGCUUUUAUAAGAGAAGAUUAUGACGGUAACUUAUGAAUAAGGGACGGCUAACUACGUG
rnacentral:rRNA from 1 species